ACGAACGCUGGCGGCCUGCCUAACACAUGCCAGUCGCACGAGACCUUCGGGUCUAGUGGCGCACGGGUGCGUAACGCGUGGGAACCUGCCCUUAGGUUCGGAAUAACUCCCCGAAAGGGGUGCUAAUACCGGAUAAUGUCUUCGGACCAAAGAUUUAUCGCCUUUGGAUGGGCCCGCGUUGGAUUAGCUAGUUGGUAGGGUAAAAGCCUACCAAGGCGACGAUCCAUAGCUGGUCUGAGAGGAUGAUCAGCCACACUGGGACUGAGACACGGCCCAGACUCCUACGGGAGGCAGCAGUGGGGAAUAUUGGACAAUGGGCGAAAGCCUGAUCCAGCAAUGCCGCGUGAGUGAUGAAGGCCUUAGGGUUGUAAAGCUCUUUUACCCGGGAUGAUAAUGACAGUACCGGGAGAAUAAGCUCCGGCUAACUCCGUG
rnacentral:rRNA from 1 species